UACAGCUUGUUCCAAAGGAUACACAUCUUAUUUGGGACAAAGAUGCCAGCCCUGUCCGAGAAACACAUUCGGUGAAAGAUGUCGAGAUGAAUGCACUUGCUCAGGCUUUGAAAUGUAUGCAAUAUGUUCACCUUUUUAAACACAUACGAUAUGGACUAACAAAGCAAAGAAAGCAUACAAUAUGACAAUCCCUUUUUGGUGCCCAGUUUAGUUGUCUACCUCACAUUGAAUUGAUCAAUCUAAUGAAAAUACAUGUAUCAAGAUACAAACAGUCAUUUAAAUACUUAAAAUCUCUAAGUGUAAAGUAAAAAGUAAAAACAAAUGUUAUAAUUGCCUGAGAUCAACAUUUUAUUAUUUUGUAGUUGUGACCAUGUUGAAGGCUGUGUUGAUUUGUCGUCGACAACUGGUACCUCAGUGCCAGCAACCACUUUUAAAGAUGACAGAACAUAUAUAUCGACCGUAAGCGAAAAAACAGAUUCGAAAAAUGAAUUGGUGUCGAGAGAAAUAAUUGCAUAUUAUAUAGUACCACUGUCGUUCGUGAUUCCCGGGAUAUUUUUGUGCUUCUUUUUCUACAAAUUCAAGAUAGUGGAUAAAAUGAAGAAAGCAGCAAUGACCCGAUCUAAAAACCCUUCGCUACAUCUACCACAACACAGUAAAGAUAUCGAAAUGGAGGAAAGUUUAUAUGACAUUAUGGAUGAUACAGAUAUGCUGGGAUAUGUAAGGCGAAUGCUCAAGUCGACUGAUGUAUAAGCAGAUCAAAUAGCACUCGGAGAGUUGAAAGCACAUUUGUACAGAAUCAUGAUUAUUCAUGCCAGUCACUCUUCACCACGGAGACGACAAAAACAAACUAAAACUAGAAUUAAGUAUCUUUAAAAGUUGCCAAACAAUACAACAAUGUUUAAAUUAGGAAGUGAUUAAAAUGUCACCAUCGAAAAUAAGA